UACGGGGGGGGUAAGCGUUGUUCGGAAUUACUGGGCGUAAAGGGCUCGUAGGCGGCCAACUAAGUCAGACGUGAAAUCCCUCAGCUUAACUGGGGAACUGCGUCUGAUACUGGAUGGCUUGGAUCCGGGAGAGGGAUGCGGAAUUCCAGGUGUAGCGGUGAAAUGCGUAGAUAUCUGGAGGAACACCGGUGGCGAAGGCGGCAUCCUGGACCGGUAUUGACGCUGAGGAGCGAAAGCCAGGGGAGCAAAUGGG
rnacentral:rRNA from 1 species